AAAAAAAAGAAAAAUCCAGAAAGUGUUAAAUAAAUUUAUUAAAAAAAAUACAAAACAAAAAAAAAAACGUCUUCCGCGCUCGCUAUUAAAGACUACAAAAUCAAUGAAAGAUACACGCAUGGUUAUGUGAAGUAAUUAGUCAGAUAUGUUACACAAAUGUGCUUAAAAUAAUUAAAACUCAAUUGGAAAUCAUUCAUGUGAUGAAUUAUCAAAAAAACUUCAUAAAAUUUACACAAAUAUAUAAAAUAACCGAUUAGGCGUCUUUUUAUAUACUUUAUACCAUUUUACUUUAUACUUGAAAAAAAAGCUGCCAUCGACCACUAAUAAACGCCCAAUCUAAUCAAACCGCACCGUUUAGACGCAAAUGCGUUCAAUUCAAUGCAAUUAAUAAGUCAAAUGAAAAAAAACCAGUAUAGUACUGUUCUAAAAGUCGCUAAUCUCAUUCAAGUGUAUUUUUUUACCACAACUCAAACCGUCAAUAAAUAUUUUAGCUAAAAAAAAUAAUAUUUAGUCAAAAGUUAUUACUGUACUUCAUAUUUGGCAAAUUUUAUAGAACAUUUUAGUGAUAAUUCAUUGUAAAUAAACACCUACUUGUGCGCUUUAUUAAUCAACAUAUUAAUUCUAAAAAUAAAAAAAAGAACUUCGACAAUAACGAUAUUUAUAUAAAAAAAAAUAAUGGAAGAUUAAAACCCAUAUUACAUACAAGUAAUACGGGAUUAAAAUUAGUAAUAGCCAGGAUAAUACAGAUGUUUAAAGGUUCUGUCAUUACAAACUUUAAGUUCUGUUACUGUUAACUGAAUAUGUCUCAUAAAAUUGUCUUGUAUUACCAGGGUAGUACUAUCUGGAAUGCCCAUUUUCACAUCAGUUACGAUUUCCUCCUCCUAGCUUUUCACAUAAACAAACUGGAUUGGAAAACAUAUUUGUCUGGAUGUAACAAACGUUACAUCCAGAUAAAUAUCUCAUUUGGUAUCAAAUGAGAUGAGUCUCGAGUUUAGCAUUUUGUAACGCCAGACUGACUUUAUUGACGAAGUUGCCUAUACCAUAUAAAUUAAACAUAAUAACCUCAUACCGAUAGUAUGUUUGUUUACUAAGAAAACAAAACGAGCUAUAUGCUCUGUUUGGCAUUUUAUAAUUUAAUAACAUAUUGCUAAUUAUCUGAUGCCAUAAGAUCCCACCACCGCUAUUCUAAUAUGAAUUUACUUCGUUUAAAAAAUACGUUUUAAGAUAUUCAAUCAAUCCACAUUUACAAUGUUAAUUUUUUUAAGAAAAAAAUAAUGGCAAACUAAGAGCGAUUUUGAAAAAUGUGAAAUCAAUGGCAUUACUACAGGAUAAAUGGCAUGAAUGUGGUAUGACGUUAUCUAUGUUUGGUCCAUUUAUGUUUGUGAGACACGAAUACCAAACCUGUGUGAUAAUAGGCAAUGUUUCAUUUGAAUAAAUAAAAUGUAAAAAUUAAAUUUUACGAAUAAUACAAUAAAGCACAAAGGAUUUUACCGUAGUCUAUAUACCGCACACAAAUUGUUAACCGCGCGAAACUUCGCAUCGCAUCGCAUUCGCAUCACUCAGUGAAGUGAAAACAAGUGUUAUUUGUAAUUUAAUUUAGUAACAAUUAAUUUCAAUAAAACUAAUUAACUGUUACUCUGUUUCAAAUGACAAAUAAUGUAACGCGUUAUACAGUCGCGCGUUUAAUUAACCGCACAUAAACCGCGCGGCGUCGCGCGUUUCUUGUGAACAACUCUUAGUAAAAUGUAUGGUUAUCUAGCACGCAAUUGUAUUACGCGAGUAACAUUUUUGCCAUACAAAAACCAAGCGUCAAGUUAAAUUUAAAAAAAAAGCGAGGCUAACAAACUGUGUACGAUCUAUAAAACCGUGGUUUACCCCAAAAUAAAUAUUAUUUUUAACUAAUACACUGCCCUUCUUUCGUUAAAAAUUUGAAAAAUAUUAUUUUUGUUUCCAUAACAACCAUCUUUUCUUGAUAGAAAAAGCGAUUUAUGGAAGUCUACAAAUGAAUUUAAAUAAAAUAUAUAAACGACAGUAAGUAAUAAAAAAAAACGCACAAGGGUUUUAAUUACACAUAUGUAUAAGACAAAGUGCCAUUACAACAUAUUUAUUAAAUCUACACAAGAAAAAAUGCGUAACAAAGAAACCUCGUCUCGUAUAAGCAGAGCUAAACACUAAAUAUAUAUAUUUUUCGAACGAAAAUUUUCGAAAAAUACACCCGAGAUAAAAAUAUAUCCCCCAAAGUAUCUAUACAAAAUACAUCUUUAUAUUCCGCUACUAAGAGACCAUAGGACGCGUGAACCGUGCGGUUCACAUUAAGGCGAAUCAUCACACUUUGCUGCACGGCGAUAUUAAUAGUUUAACUAAAUAAAUAAUACCUAAUAUUGCACCAAUCACUUCAUUGUGCCAUUUUGUAUGGAUGAUAAAACGUCGCGUUUAGCUUAUCUACAUACAAAAACUGUGUUGAGAAUAGUAUGGAUAAUUAAAAGUCAUGGCUUUACAAUUUUGUAUGGAUGAUAAAACGUCAUGUUUAGAUUAUCUCCAUACAAAAACUGUGGUGGGAAUUGUAUGGAUAAUAAAAUAUCAUGGCUUUAUAGUGAUCAUACAAUUUUGUACGGAUGACCACAUGCUAUGCCUUUUCAUGAUUCUAUAAUCAUGAUGGUUUAUUGCGUUGAGUUUUUUUAUACCCAAACCUGUCACAUAUUUCUGUUUAUUUAUUUUUUUAUUGUACGCCAGUUAUCAUUAUUAAUCAUUAUAAACUAAGUUGACAUUAAGGUUGGGUACAACUCCUACAUAAUAAUCUCUUUUUAAAUUUUAAAUAAUAUUAAAUUAACUUAUAAUAAAUUAUAGUGCAGUCAUUGUGAGAAUUCGCCUUAAAUUCUAGAAAUAGUAAAUAAUUUAAAUAUAUUAUUAUGACGAAUAUAUUAACUUUCUCGCGUCUUAAAUUACGAAUAACCUAAUACUGAAAAAAAAAGUAUUUUUUAAGUUUAAUAACACAUUUAUACCAACUUUAUAUCCAUCGAUAUGUAAGAAAUGGGGCACCGAUCCAUCAAACUUGCGAAGCGAUAUGAAGCGAUAAUAUAUUUUUUAGUAUGUACUAUAAAACUUAUGCGGAUUUUGGAAAAAAAUCUGACAACUGAAAGUGAUGAUGUAUAUUUUCUUUCGUUCGACAUAUUAUAAAAAUCUCUAUAGCACUUUUAUUUUUUUUAAUUUUUUUAUUUUCCACUUUUAUUAAGUUAUUUUGGACGCCAUAACAAAACGGCAAUACAUUGAAACAAACACAUAAUGAAUUGUUUCAUAUGCAUGGACCUAUUAUGCAAAAUAAACAAAUU
rnacentral:lncRNA from 1 species